UGCACUUGCCAGGCAGACGCUGUGCCACUGAGCUAAAUCCCCAGCCCCGAAAUCUCUAUAUUCUUAAAAGCAGAAUAUGAGAUCACGUACUUAUUGCCUAACAAUGGGCCCUUCUCAAGAUGGCUCCUGGUUAUCACACUCGGAGAGGUGCUGAGUGAUGCACAGUGAUCCCUCACCUAUCGCAGGAGUUACGUUCCAGAGAUCCCUGCAACAGGUCUGCAUAUUUCCAGGAGCUACAUUUGACUGCACCUGAGAAACCUUAUCAGAUGGCAAAACAUCAACUUUGAGCUGAUGCAAUAAUGGGAUGCGACUCUGAGGAUCUUGAGGAGGUGUUUUUGCAGAAUAAAUUCUCACUAAAGGCCUGCAAGUGGAGAUGAUGCCUUUCCAUUCAGAGGCCCUUAGAAAAUAAGGAUUUGGGAGGCCAUCUUAAAUAAGACACUCAGCAAUGGGAUCGAGACUGUUUUCCUGUGUAGUCUCAUAGGACAAGAUGAAUUUCAGAUUACUGUUUUACUCUGUAAUUUCCCAGAAUUGUCAUGUUUAUUGUGUCUUUCCUGUCUUUCUAGUGUCCUUCCCUGUCCUAAAAUACCACUUUCCAGAAAGAAGUAGGCGUGUGUCUCUCUUGUUCACUGCUUUUUCUCCAGCGCCUAAAACAGUGACUACCAUGUGAGAAGAGCCCCUCAAAUUGUGAAAGAAAUGAGGAACUGAGUGAAUGAAGCCCUCGGAGUACCACAGUCUGGGCAGAGCUGGGAAGACUGAUGCGUUCUGUGUGGCAGCAUCCUAAGAGGGGAAUGCCUGAGAGGGUGAGAGCUCUUUCUGAGGAGACCAGCAGAUACAGGAAAGAAGGAACUAUACCGCGACAGCAUG